rnacentral:rRNA from 1 species
CUACGGGUCGCUGCAGUGAGGAAUAUUGCACAAUGGGGGGAACCCUGAUGCAGCAACGCCGCGUGGAGGAUGACGCAUUUCGGUGUGUAAACUCCUUUUAUAUGUCAAGAAAAUGACGGUAGCAUAUGAAUAAGCACCGGCUAACUCCGUGCCAGCAGCCGCGGUAAUACGGAGGGUGCAAGCGUUACUCGGAAUCACUGAGCGUAAAGGACGCGUAGGCGGGUUGGAAAGUCAGGUGUGAAAUCCUACAGCUUAACUGUAGAACUGCACUUGAAACUUCUAAUCUAGAGUAUGGGAGGGGGAGAUGGAAUUAGUGGUGUAGGGGUAAAAUCCGUAGAUAUCUCUAGGAAUACCUAAAGCGAAGGCGAUCUCCUGGAACAUCACUGACGCUAAGGCGUGAAAGCGUGGGGAGCAAACAGGAUUAGAUACCCUCGUAGUC